UACGUAGGGUGCGAGCGUUUGUCCGGAAUUAUUGGGCGUAAAGGGCUCGUAGGCGGUUUGUCACGUCAGGAGUGAAAACUCGGGGCUCAACCCCGAGCCUGCUUCUGAUACGGGCAGACUAGAGGUAUGCAGGGGAGAACGGAAUUCCUGGUGUAGCGGUGGAAUGCGUAGAGAUCGGGAAGAACAUCAGUGGCGAAGGCGGUCUGCUGGGCCGUUGCUGACGCUGAGGCGCGACAGCGUGGGGAGCAAACAGG
rnacentral:rRNA from 1 species